AGAAGAAAAAAAUCCUGCUUGCGCGAAUUUAGAAGAAGAACAACGACACUAAACGGUAAAUUAUUAGUUAAUAAAUUGAAUUUUAAUUAGGAAAGCUAAAAAUACAAAACUAAUAUCAAAAUAGGAUAGAGCUCGUCAAAACGAGAAUUUUGAUACAAAUUUCAAAAAUUUAGCCCAAAAUCGGACCGGAAAGGCCGAACCGGGGCCCAAACUGGGCUCGUGGGUCCAACCGGACCCAAACAUUUAAAUGAAACAGCAGCUCUCUUCUUCCUCAUUAGCUGCUGGACGCCAUAACAGAAAGGGAGAGGGAAGAAGAACCCUAACCCUCACCAUUCCUUCCAACUACCAUAACUUCCUCAUCCGGGCUCCGAUCGCUGCACCAUUCGCGGCCACGCGCUCAGCGUGUCGAGCUCUACCUUCCUAUUCGAACAAUUCCACUGGUAAGUCUCCUAUUAAGCCCAGAAUCUCUAUCCCUCUUUCUUUGGUAAACUUGGAAACCUAUAGUGAAUCUUGUCCAAUUUUUGUGUUAUAGGUUCAAGUUAGUUUCCAGAACUUGUGGGCUCAAGCUAUUGAGCAUAUGGGUAUGGUGUAGGUUAAGUGGGUGUUUAUGCAUUGGAAUUGAAUUGGGAUCACUUGGAGGUUUGUUGGUGACCAAGGCUUGAUUUGGGGCUGUUUGAUUGAGCUUGGAGGGGCUGUAAUUUUGCGUUGUGAGGCUGCCUUGGGUGAAUUAAGUGAUCGGCCAAGAUGCAGGUCGAGAGGCUCCUCGCUAGACGUCUGGAUCCUGGAAAGCGAAGUAGUGCUUGGGUGUAUUUUGGUUUCUGGUUGUAUAUAUGUUUAUAUAUGUUUAGCUUACUCUCCAAGUAACUUAUGUAUGCUGCUCCUCUUAGAGGUUGAGGGAGAGAUAGGUGUUUACUUUGAUAUUUUGGUAUAUUUUGGGAUAUUUUGAGAACACUUAUGUAUGUUUAUAUGUAUAUAUAUAUCCUCCGGCCAGCCUUAGCUUCGCAGGCUGAGUCAGGGGCUAGUUGUGCUGCUUCCUUGGUUGUCCUUUAUUCUUUUGCUUAUCUUUAUCAUGUUCCUAUUAGGUUUCUUAGCACGCAAGUAAUCCUUUCCUG